UACGGGGGGAGCAAGCGUUGUUCGGAUUUACUGGGCGUAAAGGGCGCGUAGGCGGCCACCGCAAGUCGACUGUGAAAUCUCCGGGCUUAACCCGGAAAGGUCAGCCGAUACUGCGGGGCUAGAGUGCAGAAGGGGCAACUGGAAUUCUCGGUGUAGCGGUGAAAUGCGUAGAUAUCGAGAGGAACACCUGCGGCGAAGGCGAGUCUCUGGGCUGUAUCUGACGCUGAUGCGCGAAAGCUAGGGGAGCAAACGGG
rnacentral:rRNA from 1 species